rnacentral:rRNA from 1 species
UGUUUCGGCUAGGGGGUCAUCCCGACUUACCAACCCGAUGCAAACUACGAAUACCGAAGAAUGUUAUCACGGGAGACACACGGCGGGUGCUAACGUCCGUCGUGAAGAGGGAAACAACCCAGACCGCCAGCUAAGGUCCCAAAGUCAUGGUUAAGUGGGAAACGAUGUGGGAAGGCACAGACAGCCAGGAUGUUGGCUUAGAAGCAGCCAUCAUUUAAAGAAAGCGUAAUAGCUCACUGGUCGAGUCGGCCUGCGCGGAAGAUGUAACGGGGCUAAACCAUGCACCGAAGCUGCGGCAGCGACACUAUGUGUUGUUGGGUAGGGGAGCGUUCUGUAAGCCUGCGAAGGUGUGCUGUGAGGCAUGCUGGAGGUAUCAGAAGUGCGAAUGCUGACAUAAGUAACGAUAAAGCGGGUGAAAAGCCCGCUCGCCGGAAGACCAAGGGUUCCUGUCCAACGUUAAUCGGGGCAGGGUGAGUCGACCCCUAAGGCGAGGCCGAAAGGCGUAGUCGAUGGGAAACAGGUUAAUAUUCCUGUACUUGGUGUUACUGCGAAGGGGGGACGGAGAAGGCUAUGUUAGCCGGGCGACGGUUGUCCCGGUUUAAGCAUGUAGGCUGAUUGUCCAGGCAAAUCCGGAUAAUCAAGGCUGAGGUGUGAUGACGAGGCACUACGGUGCUGAAGUAACAAAUGCCCUGCUUCCAGGAAAAGCCUCUAAGCAUCAGGUAACAUCAAAUCGUACCCCAAACCGACACAGGUGGUCAGGUAGAGAAUACCAAGGCGCUUGAGAGAACUCGGGUGAAGGAACUAGGCAAAAUGGUGCCGUAACUUCGGGAGAAGGCACGCUGGUGUGUAGGUGAAGUCCCUGCGGAUGGAGCUGAGACCAGUCGAAGAUACCAGCUGGCUGCAACUGUUUAUUAAAAACACAGCACUGUGCAAACACGAAAGUGGACGUAUACGGUGUGACGCCUGCCCGGUGCCGGAAGGUUAAUUGAUGGGGUUAUCCGUAAGGAGAAGCUCUUGAUCGAAGCCCCGGUAAACGGCGGCCGUAACUAUAACGGUCCUAAGGUAGCGAAAUUCCUUGUCGGGUAAGUUCCGACCUGCACGAAUGGCGUAAUGAUGGCCAGGCUGUCUCCACCCGAGACUCAGUGAAAUUGAACUCGCUGUGAAGAUGCAGUGUACCCGCGGCAAGACGGAAAGACCCCGUGAACCUUUACUAUAGCUUGACACUGAACAUUGAGCCUUGAUGUGUAGGAUAGGUGGGAGGCUUUGAAGCGUGGACGCCAGUCUGCGUGGAGCCAACCUUGAAAUACCACCCUUUAAUGUUUGAUGUUCUAACGUUGGCCCCUUACCGGGGUUGCGGACAGUGUCUGGUGGGUAGUUUGACUGGGGCGGUCUCCUCCCAAAGCGUAACGGAGGAGCACGAAGGUUAGCUAAUCCUGGUCGGACAUCAGGAGGUUAGUGCAAUGGCAUAAGCUAGCUUGACUGCGAGCGUGACGGCGCGAGCAGGUGCGAAAGCAGGUCAUAGUGAUCCGGUGGUUCUGAAUGGAAGGGCCAUCGCUCAACGGAUAAAAGGUACUCCGGGGAUAACAGGCUGAUACCGCCCAAGAGUUCAUAUCGACGGCGGUGUUUGGCACCUCGAUGUCGGCUCAUCACAUCCUGGGGCUGAAGUAGGUCCCAAGGGUAUGGCUGUUCGCCAUUUAAAGUGGUACGCGAGCUGGGUUUAGAACGUCGUGAGACAGUUCGGUCCCUAUCUGCCGUGGGCGCUGGAGAAUUGAGGGGGGCUGCUCCUAGUACGAGAGGACCGGAGUGGACGCAUCACUGGUGUUCGGGUUGUCAUGCCAAUGGCACUGCCCGGUAGCUAAAUGCGGAAGAGAUAAGUGCUGAAAGCAUCUAAGCACGAAACUUGCCCCGAGAUGAGUUCUCCCUGAGACUUUAAGUCUCCUGAAGGAACGUUGAAGACGACGACGUUGAUAGGCCGGGUGUGUAAGCGCAGCGAUGCGUUGAGCUAACCGGUACUAAUGAACCGUGAGGCUUAACCUU